GAGGAAGGAAGAGCAUCUGAUCUAGCCUGGGGCUCAGAGAAGGAUCCCUGAAGAGAGGCCUUGGACUAAUAAAAGUUGAGUAGGAGUUAUCCAAGGCAACAAGGAGGAGAGAAGGAGGGUAUUUAAGACAAUGAGAAAAAUUAAUAAGACAUGGAAAUGCGAAACAUCUUGGAAACUCUCCUUGUUGAGGAUGCAGACAGAUCCAUCCCACUGCUGAGCUCUGGCUACCCUUUCCAGGACAGGAUUGUACUCCCGUGACACCAGUCUCCAGAGACCCGGUGAUAUUCAAGGUCUUCAUCCCUCUCCGGGUACCCCUACCUAACACUCAACCCUUAGAUGAGAUGAUAUCCUCUUGCUGCCCUUCUGCCAACCCUUCCCUGCAAUCGGACCUGACCUCUGAGAAUGCAGCUCCCCCCAGCCUGAUAUAGCUCAUCCCUCAUCGGGUGCAUCUGUGCCUAGCUACCCUGGUUCUGAUGAAGUAAAUAGGACACAUAUGUCACUGUGGAGCCUCAUGAGUCUCUUUAGAUAAAAAUAAAUUUGGAAAAUUGCAAAACCCUCCAGAGACAAUACCUUCCUAAUGAUUUCUGCCUUCUUUGACACCUCAUUGCACUGAUUAAUGGUCAUUCAAAUUGACCACCUGGCAUAGCUCACUGUCAAAAUAAAAAAGGACAUAUUUUAAAAA